rnacentral:rRNA from 1 species
AAUAGCAUAUCAAUAAGCGGAGGAAAAGAAACCAACAGGGAUUGCCCUAGUAACGGCGAGUGAAGCGGCAACAGCUCAAAUUUGAAAUCUGGCUCUUUUAGAGUCCGAGUUGUAAUUUGCAGAGGGCGCUUUGGCUUUGGCAGCGGUCCAAGUUCCUUGGAACAGGACGUCACAGAGGGUGAGAAUCCCGUACGUGGUCGCUGGCUAUUGCCGUGUAAAGCCCCUUCGACGAGUCGAGUUGUUUGGGAAUGCAGCUCUAAAUGGGAGGUACAUUUCUUCUAAAGCUAAAUAUUGGCCAGAGACCGAUAGCGCACAAGUAGAGUGAUCGAAAGAUGAAAAGCACUUUGGAAAGAGAGUCAAACAGCACGUGAAAUUGUUGAAAGGGAAGCGCUUGCAGCCAGACUUGCUUGCAGUUGCUCAUCCGGGCUUUUGCCCGGUGCACUCUUCUGUAGGCAGGCCAGCAUCAGUUUGGGCGGUAGGAUAAAGGUCUCUGUCACGUACCUCUCUUCGGGGAGGCCUUAUAGGGGAGACGACAUACUACCAGCCUGGACUGAGGUCCGCGCAUCUGCUAGGAUGCUGGCGUAAUGGCUGUAAGCGGCCCGUCUUGAAACACGGACCAAGGAGUCUAACAUCUAUGCGAGUGUUUGGGUGUCAAGCCCGAGCGCGUAAUGAAAGUGAACGGAGGUGGGAACCCGCAAGGGUGCACCAUCGACCGAUCCUGAUGUCUUCGGAAGGAUUUGAGUAAGAGCAUGGCUGUUGGGACCCGAAAGAUGGUGAACUAUGCUUGAAUAGGGUGAAGCCAGAGGAAACUCUGGUGGAGGCUCGCAGCGGUUCUGACGUGCAAAUCGAUCGUCAAAUUUGGGCAUAGGGCGAAAGACUAAUCGACUUCUAAUGCUC